rnacentral:lncRNA from 1 species
GCUCUGCACACCCAUCCAGUCUGAUGCACGCAGAACCAGCACAAGACAAGGAGGAUCACAGCAGACAACCCCAGGUUCCUGAACUGCUAUUAACAACAACAUGACAAUUUCACACAUCCCUCCUAAAGGCCUGCCUGACGCAGAAAAUCAAACCCAUGAUAGCAAAUUUCAAGUUAAAAGGAAAAGACUGUUUCUGCAGAGAAUGGAAAGAACCAUUUUGGCUCUGGGCAACACGUGAGUUUGAGAAGUUACGUGCAGGGAAAGAUGAGUUUGCACUGAGGAGGUGACUUGAAUCCUUUGCAGACCCCGCUGGA